rnacentral:rRNA from 1 species
GCCUGCAUGAAGCCGGAAUUGCUAGUAAUGGCAGGUCAGCAUACUGCCGUGAAUACGUUCCCGGGCCUUGUACACACCGCCCGUCACACCAUGAGAGUUGGGGAUACCCAAAGCCCGUGAGCCAACUUUUAAAGAGGCAGCGGUCUAAGGUAGAAUCAAUGAUUGGGGUGAAGUCGUAACAAGGUAAC